rnacentral:rRNA from 1 species
UACUGGGCGUAAGCGCACGCAGGCGGUCUGUCAAGUCGGAUGUGAAAUCCCCGGGCUCAACCUGGGAACUGCAUUCGAAACUGGCAGGCUAGAGUCUUGUAGAGGGGGGUAGAAUUCCAGGUGUAGCGGUGAAAUGCGUAGAGAUCUGGAGGAAUACCGGUGGCGAAGGCGGCCCCCUGGACAAAGACUGACGCUCAGGUGCGAAAGCGUGGGGAGCAAACAGGAUUAGAUACCCUGGUAGUCCACGCCGUAAACGAUGUCGAUUUGGAGGUUGUGCCCUUGAGGCGUGGCUUCCGGAGCUAACGCGUUAAAUCGACCGCCUGGGGAGU